rnacentral:rRNA from 1 species
UACAGAGGAUGCAAGCGUUAUCCGGAAUGAUUGGGCGUAAAGCGUCUGUAGGUGGCUUUUUAAGUCCGCCGUCAAAUCCCAGGGCUCAACUCUGGACAGGCGGUGGAAACUACCAAGCUGGAGUACGGUAGGGGCAGAGGGAAUUUCCGGUGGAGCAGUGAAAUGCAUUGAGAUCGAAAAGAACACCAGCGGCGAAAGCACUCUGCUGGGCCGACACUGACACUGAGAGACGAAAGCUAGGGGAGCAAAUGGG